AUAAAAAUUUACAGUAACUUGUAUGACAUAACCCAUUGAAAUACAAUAGAUUGUGUGGCAAACAAUACAAACUAUUGUAUGCUUAUUGUAAAAUGUUCACGGUUGUAAAAGAUCUUUAUUGUACGUACAAUAAAAUAACAAUAUAUUUAAAUGUUUCCGAUAUAUUCUAUUAUAUUUUUAUUAUUCGUUUAUGUUUAGUAUUGCUCAUCCAAAAACUAAACAAAUUUUAAACGUUUCGGUUUGGAUGAUCUGGAAAUCCGUCUAAUGUUAUUGAAUUAAUAUAAUUUUGGAAUAUUUCAUGGAUUUAUUAUAUUGACGAAAUAACAAUUAAAAACAAUAAAAUUACAAUAGCUUUGUUUGUUAAAUAAAUUAAAAUUGUUAUAGCGAUUCUCAAGUAUAUAUUUUCAUAUUGCAGGUCUUGUUGCAGGUCUAGAAAUGUUAUGCAAUACAAAUUUGGUUUUUAAAAAAUGAAAGGUUACAAAAACUUUUGCUUAUCAUUUUACUCGGAGAAUGGCUGAAUUCAUUUGAGCGUGUACAGUUUUGUUUAUAAUUAGUGAAGAGAUGAAAAUAAUGAAACUGUAUGGUGCAGAAAGUGUCUUUUCAUUACAGUUUCUGCUGCUGGGCAAGCGGUAGAUCACUAUGGCUUCUGUACCGUGAAAUGAAGCUUAUGAUAAAUAAAAUACUGCUGCUUGCUGGUCACUGAUUCAAGAUCGUUCAGUGGCUACCAUUGGCCAAUCUCACCAACGGGAUAUAAUAAGAACUGAUGCAGGUUUAUAUCUAUAUGUAUUGUCUAUUCGGAACAAAGUUAGUACGCUUUUCAAACCGAUGUUGGAUUUUUCACCAGAUACAGGCAGCCCACUUAACUUUGGAAGUAGUGCACUGGAUUCGUCUAAAGAUAUGCUAAACAACCGAAGGAAAAUAAAAUAAUUUAUAAAACAAUUAAUUGUAUGAUAUUUUUAUUGUAAUAUUGGAGUAUAAUGUAUUCUAAAUCCUGUUGUAUUUCUAUUGUAAAACAAUAGAAACAGUAAUUGAAAACAUUUAAAACACAAUGUUUUCUAUUGUUUUGUCGCUCGAAAUCAUCCCAUUGAAGUACCGUAAAAUCAAUUGUUUUGCUCCGAAUUUUGUAUGGAAAAUUUUCGAUUUUUUUAUUGUAAAGAUACAUAACAACCCCCCUUUUUAAUUGUAAAAGUCCCAUUUACCAUUCAUUUUAUCGUGGAAAACCAUUAUUUCUCAUGUGAUUUUAUUGUCAAAAUUACAUUAUAUUCAAUGGUAAAAAUUGUGUUUUAAAUGGUGUUGUAACAAUAAAAUUUAUGAUAUUUUAAUGAUAUUUUUUAUCCGGG